GCGGAGGUGGCGAAAUUGGUAGACGCACUACCUUGAGGUGGUAGCGCUCAUAAACCGGGCGUGGGAGUUCGAGUCUCCUCUUCCGCA
rnacentral:tRNA from 1 species